GAGGCUACAAUUGUCUCGAUCCGCCAGCAGAGCCCUCCUGUGUCAUUUGCUCCUGUGUCACUGUACUGCGCACAAGGAACUCACCUCCGCAAUCAAAAAUGAAUGGUCUGGAUAAGAUUCUCGAGAACUUCUCGGUGUUGUUAAUCGUGCUCGGCUCGGUUGGUGUCGUGUGGGCCUUCAUUAUGAUGGUGUGAGAUGCUUGGAGGGUGUAUAUGUUACAGCAUGUUUGGGUCGGGCUCUACUUGCUGCAGUGAUGGCAGACAGCCAAACGGUGACUUGACCACCAUGUUGAAGUGAUGUCAUCACGCUACACUUAUCAAGCUGGGAUGCUACUCUUUUCGGGAUUCUUCGGAAGCCUUCGGCUAUUUUCGCCAUCUUCUCGCCUUCGUCUCUACGUUGCCGAGGACAGCGUCAUCACCUGCCAAUGCAUUAUGUGUGAACCAUAUAUCAACUUUUACUGACAAUGAACACUCAGUCCACAACAAUACUCCUUGCUGCUAUGAAACCCUGCUCCAGCGUUUAUCCCACGUUCAAGGCCAUUUUCGUAAUUCUACCAUGAUUGAAACAUCGCGACAAGUCACCAGCAAUAGAAAACUUGUAGAUUUGACUAUCGUUCUACUCACAUAGUCUUCAGAACGGCACGUAAAGUUGUCUUACCAUCUUUGCACAAUGUUUUAAGCCGCUUCACAUUAAUUUUGUGGAGUGGCAAUGUCUACUGUUUGCAACUUUUUUCAAAAUAAACCGCAAUUAAGGUGGCGGGUACGUUGAAUCCUUACUACGAUGUGUCAGUACAAAGAUGUACUUUUCUUAUAAUUACAUGUGUGUCUAAAACGAUUUCGAGUAUUUUCGUCUUUGGGUGAGUUUUCUGCCUAUGCCCGGUAAGACAUGUACUUCAUAACUCAAACACUUAGUCUUCACAGAUUGCCCAGAACAUGUAAUAAGUUGUUUGAUUGAGAAUUUCUUUUGGUAACAGCGCAGUAUGUUAAACAGAGCAUAUAGCAUAUUACCGGUUUAUAUGGUGGACUUGCAUCUAAUCACCAACCAGUAUCAGGUGCGUCUCUUAAUUAUGUUGGGAACAGCUCUCCAGCUAUGGCAAUGCAAUGCAGUGCCAUGUAUGCAUGUUACUAUUCUAGCCGAUGGUGUGAUAUAAAGCAUUAGCCUGAAAGUCUUCACGUACGACACUUGUAUUGCAGGGUUUCAGGUAUUCUAGCCCCAGACUUAAGGACACUUUCUUGAUAAUACAUGUAAAUUAUGGCAAGUUUCAUCACCUGUCACACGUUUCAAUGGGACAUGGGCGUGUCCUAUUUAAUUUUUUUGAAGGACCCGUAGCUCAUAGACAGCCUGUUGACCACCGAUGGGACAUCUUUUCUCAUCGUCAAAGAGUAGUAAAGAGGGGAGAUCAUGUCCAUCGGCAAUCAGGCGGUCAUCCUUGUGGCCAUACUGGUCAGCCUUUUUUAUGUAGUCCCGUAUCUUAUUAUGAUGCUGUGACGCACCCCUGGCGUCCGAGUGUCGGUAAGUACACUUAAGUAUGUCGCCAGUCUUACGAAACGCCAUCAUGCUGUAAUACAUUUUUACAAUACUGCAGAUUAGAUCUACCAUGUAGAAAGAUUAUGCAGCCUCAUGAAAUACCGGAGAAGUCAUCCAUUUAAAAGGCCAGUCAGCUUUCAGAGAGAAAAACAGCAUAGAGAUAGUCGCACGUAUGUGCGGCUGCAACGAGAACGCUCAUUCGUUUUACAAUGGUGCCUUUAUACAAAAUGGCAACAGUCAAAGGAAAAACAAGAUAGAAAUGACUUGGUACUAGAUAAGUGGGGCGGGGAUAGACUUAAUACUUGACAAAGGUGAAUAGUCUGUUACUUUUAAUGCAUUCAUAUUCUACGCUCUGCGUUUUGGUACAAGUCCUAUCUGAGCGUACUGAUUUAUUCAUGACAUACUGCGAGGGCUAGCUUGCUGUAAGCCACAAUAGAAUAGAAAUAGGUCAAUCUUUAAAGUCUAUGUCUGUACAUUGUCAGGUGUAUCAGCAUGCCUUAAAUUAAAAGUAUGUACAGUGUCAUUGUACACGGACAGAUGACAAGAUGUAAUUUUGUUCGGAUUCAGUCAACAAACUUAGCUUCUUAUUGGUUCUCCAGCAUGUAGCACUUUCACAUUAACCUUGAGUAGCUAUUCCAUCGUAAUCUACGGUCUUUCCACGCUUAAAUGCACACAAAUAUAUUCAUAUAUUCAAGUAUGUUAUAUAGUAGUCCUUGAUCUAUUUGAUUGCCGAAGCAUGAAAUCAUUAAGGUCUACUUUUCGCCAGACGUUAUCUAUUGUUUGCAACGACCGGUUGUUCCACUUCUAAAAUUCAACUCUCUAGUAGCACUGGAUUCUGGGAUACGUGCUUCCAUCACGUCACAACAGUCGUUACGUAAGGUUGACUAUACUUUAAAGCCGACUUUACGUUGUUCGUACUUCGUAGCUCAACGUAAGAAGAAUGUCUCUUGGUAACCAAGCGCUUAUCUUGGUGGCUGUACUCGUUGGGAUUUUCACUUUGACACCGUACCUGAUCACCAUGCUGUAACGUCAUGCCAAGGACUUAACGGACUGGCCUUGCCGGCCCCUUCUGAAGGUCGACGAGGUCAUCAAGAAACAUCAUGGUGGCCUCCGUGGCGUUCCGUACAACCGAUGAUAGCAAAGACGUCGACGCUUCCAAAGGCUUGCCAUCACCGCACCUCCUUGCCUAGAAAACACAACAGGAAUACACAACAGUAACUCCUUCUAUGGACUCUCGGUGAUAGAAUCCUUGUUAUCAGAUCUACAUGUAAGGAUAUAGACAACCUGUGCACCAGAAACAUCCAGCUUCAUCCGUUGGUUCUUCCGACACCUCAUCUCGCUUUAUCAUGGAGAUCACCUACCAUUGGCUCUAUCAGGAGGCAUCAUCAUCUGGUCGUUACAAGGAUGAACACGACUCUAUCCGGAGUACGUGGCACAAUAGGACUUGCAAUUGGGGAAACAUCCAUAUCUGUUAGAAAAAUAUACUAAACAUCAUUUUCCAUAGAAAUAUUGGAGGGCAAGGUAUACUUUAAGUUGCUGCUAGAUUAGAUGCCAUUUGCCAUGAGUAUUUUUUUGCUAGUCGAUUUCUACACUCGCUUUUUCCUUCAAUAAGCGAUGUUGUAGUUUGUUUGGGUUGUUUCAUCCAUCGUUAGGUAUAUCUCUCAUAUGCCCUCAGAUUGAAACGUUUGAUGGCAACUGAGAGAUUAUGAUAUAUGUGACUUGUUUCAUAGUUGCUUGAAGUCAGUCCAUGACAAAGUCGGACUCACUUCAAAUAUCUAUGAAUUUGGUCUUAGUGCUCUUCUUGCUGACGAAUAUGACGAUAUGUAAUAUCGUUUUCAAGAAGACAGUUUCAACCUGGCAUCCUGGUUUUACAGUUCCUUUGUAGAGAUGUGAAGCAGAGGAUGCUAGGUUACCCUACUACUCGAUGAAUGGAAUAGGUUGAUCUAAAUAUCUGAAUAAAUACAACAUUGGUUCAACUUUCAACUUUUAA